CAAGCAUCAUAUCGCCCUCAGCCUUCUCCUUCUCUGUCUCUCCCACUAAAACAGGGACACUGAUUAAACACCAAGUCAUGUGUAUAUAGGGGUGAGUGGCUGGGUGAGUUUAGUUUUACGCCGC